CCUACGGGUGGCAGCAGUCGAGAAUCAUUCACAAUGGGGGAAACUCUGAUGGUGCGACGCCGCGUGGGGGAAUGAAGGUCUUCGGAUUGUAAACUCCUGUUAUGUGGGAGCAAAUUAAAAAGAUCGUACCUCACUAGGAAGAGCCGGCUAACUCUGUGCCAGCAGCCGCGGUAAUACAGAGGUCUCAAGCGUUGUUCGGAAUCACUGGGCGUAAAGCGUGCGUAGGCUGUUUCGUAAGUCGUGUGUGAAAGGCGCGGGCUCAACCCGCGGACUGCACAUGAUACUGCGAGACUAGAGUUAAGGAGGGGGAACCGGAAUUCUCGGUGUAGCAGUGAAAUGCGUAGAUAUC
rnacentral:rRNA from 1 species